rnacentral:rRNA from 1 species
CGCUAGCUACAGGCUUAACACAUGCAAGUCGAGGGUUAGCAUUUCAGUUUGCUUGCAAACUGGAGAUGGCGACCGGCGCACGGGUGAGUAACACGUAUCCAACCUGCCGAUAACUCGGGGAUAGCCUUUCGAAAGAAAGAUUAAUACCCGAUGGCAUAAUUAGACCGCAUGGUCUUAUUAUUAAAGAAUUUCGGUUAUCGAUGGGGAUGCGUUCCAUUAGGCAGUUGGUGAGGUAACGGCUCACCAAACCUUCGAUGGAUAGGGGUUCUGAGAGGAAGGUCCCCCACAUUGGAACUGAGACACGGUCCAAACUCCUACGGGAGGCAGCAGUGAGGAAUAUUGGUCAAUGGGCGCAGGCCUGAACCAGCCAAGUAGCGUGAAGGAUGACUGCCCUAUGGGUUGUAAACUUCUUUUAUAUGGGAAUAAAGUUUUCCACGUGUGGAAUUUUGUAUGUACCAUAUGAAUAAGGAUCGGCUAACUCCGUGCCAGCAGCCGCGGUAAUACGGAGGAUCCGAGCGUUAUCCGGAUUUAUUGGGUUUAAAGGGAGCGUAGGUGGACAGUUAAGUCAGUUGUGAAAGUUUGCGGCUCAACCGUAAAAUUGCAGUUGAUACUGGCUGUCUUGAGUACAGUAGAGGUGGGCGGAAUUCGUGGUGUAGCGGUGAAAUGCUUAGAUAUCACGAAGAACUCCGAUUGCGAAGGCAGCUCACUGGACUGCAACUGACACUGAUGCUCGAAAGUGUGGGUAUCAAACAGGAUUAGAUACCCUGGUAGUCCACACAGUAAACGAUGAAUACUCGCUGUUUGCGAUAUACAGUAAGCGGCCAAGCGAAAGCAUUAAGUAUUCCACCUGGGGAGUACGCCGGCAACGGUGAAACUCAAAGGAAUUGACGGGGGCCCGCACAAGCGGAGGAACAUGUGGUUUAAUUCGAUGAUACGCGAGGAACCUUACCCGGGCUUAAAUUGCAUUUGAAUAUAUUGGAAACAGUAUAGCCGUAAGGCAAAUGUGAAGGUGCUGCAUGGUUGUCGUCAGCUCGUGCCGUGAGGUGUCGGCUUAAGUGCCAUAACGAGCGCAACCCUUAUCUUUAGUUACUAACAGGUCAUGCUGAGGACUCUAGAGAGACUGCCGUCGUAAGAUGUGAGGAAGGUGGGGAUGACGUCAAAUCAGCACGGCCCUUACGUCCGGGGCUACACACGUGUUACAAUGGGGGGUACAGAAGGCAGCUACCUGGUGACAGGAUGCUAAUCCCAAAAGCCUCUCUCAGUUCGGAUCGAAGUCUGCAACCCGACUUCGUGAAGCUGGAUUCGCUAGUAAUCGCGCAUCAGCCAUGGCGCGGUGAAUACGUUCCCGGGCCUUGUACACACCGCCCGUCAAGCCAUGAAAGCCGGGGGUAAAUGAAGUACGUAACCGCAAGGAGCGUCCUAGGGUAAAACUGA